rnacentral:rRNA from 1 species
GAUGAACGCUGGCGGCGUGCCUAAUACAUGCAAGUCGAGCGAAUGGAUUAAGAGCUUGCUCUUAUGAAGUUAGCGGCGGACGGGUGAGUAACACGUGGGUAACCUGCCCAUAAGACUGGGAUAACUCCGGGAAACCGGGGCUAAUACCGGAUAAUAUUUUGAACUGCAUGGUUCAAAAUUGAAAGGCGGCUUCGGCUGUCACUUAUGGAUGGACCCGCGUCCCAUUAGCUAGUUGGUGAGGUAACGGCUCACCAAGGCAACGAUGCGUAGCCGGCCUGAGAGGGUGCGAGCCCACACUGAGACUGAGACCCGGCCCAGACUCCUACGGGAGGCAGCAGUAGGGAAGCUUCCGCCAUGGACGAAAGUCUGACGGAGCAACGCCGCGUGAGUGAUGAAGGCUUUCGGGUCGUAAAACUCUGUUGUUAGGGAAGAACAAGUGCUAGUUGAAUAAGCUGGCACCUUGACGGUACCUAACCAGAAAGCCACGGCUAACUACGUGCCAGCAGCCGCGGUAA